CCUACGGGAGGCAGCAGUGAGGAAUAUUGGUCAAUGGCCGAGAGGCUGAACCAGCCAAGUCGCGUGAGGGAAGACGGCCCUACGGGUUGUAAACCUCUUUUGUCGGGGAGCAAAGAGAGUCACGUGUGACUCAUUGAGAGUACCCGAAGAAAAAGCAUCGGCUAACUCCGUGCCAGCAGCCGCGGUAAUACGGAGGAUGCGCCCGUUAUCCGGAUUUAUUGGGUUUAAAGGGUGUGCAGGGGGAGGUGCAAGUCCGCGGUAAAAUUGCGGGGCUCAACCCCGUACUGCCGUUGAAACUGCAUCUCUUGAGUGCGCGAGAGGUAUGCGGAAUGCGUGGUGUAGCGGUGACAUGCUUAGAUAUCACGCAGAACUCCGAUUGCGAAGGCAGCUCACUGGCGUGCAACUGACGCUCAUGCACGAAAGCGUGGGUAUCGAACAGGAUUAGAUACCCUAGUAGUC
rnacentral:rRNA from 1 species